AGCGAACGCUGGCGGCAGGCUUAACACAUGCAAGUCGAGCGGGCAUCCUUGUGGUGUCAGCGGCAGACGGGUGAGUAACGCGUGGGAACGUGCCCUUCGGUUCGGAAUAACUCAGGGAAACUUGAGCUAAUACCGGAUACGUGCGAGAGCAGAAAGGUUUAUCUGCCGAAGGAUCGGCCCGCGUCUGAUUAGCUAGUUGGUGAGGUUAUGGCUCACCAAGGCGACGAUCAGUAGCUGGUCUGAGAGGAUGAUCAGCCACACUGGGACUGAGACACGGCCCAGACUCCUACGGGGGGCAGCAGUGGGGAAUAUUGGACAAUGGGGGCAACCCUGAUACAGCCAUGCCGCGUGAGUGGUGACGGCCUUAGGGUUGUAAAGCUCUUUUCUCCGGGACGAUAAUGACGGUACCGGAGGAAUAAGCCCCGGCUAACUUCGUG
rnacentral:rRNA from 1 species